UAUAAGCCACCGCACCUGGCCUAUGUAGACGUUUUAAAAUUUUUUCCAUAAAUUAUUUUAUACUCCUCCCUUCAAAAGGUAGAGCUUAAUUUUCCUCUCAAGUGUGGGUUGAUUUGCUUCUUAUCAACAGAAUAUGGCAGAAGUAAUGGGAAGUCACUUCUAAGAACAGGUUAUAAAAAGACUGGUUUUGUCUUGGUAUUUGUUCUGUUGGAUCACUUAGUUUGGGAGAAGCUAUAUUGGGAGGAUACUGAGAAAGUUUAUGGCAGGACCCUAUGGUGAGAUUAUGGAGGCCCCGACCUCCUGCCAAAAACCACAAGGAAGCAGAUCCUUCAGCUCCAGCCAAGCCAUGAGACACCUUGAGCCAGAAACCACCCAGAUCAACUGGAUACCUGCUCCAACGCCCCUGGAUACCUGACCCUCAGAAACUGUGUCAAAUAAUAAAUUUUUGUUAUUUUAAGGUGACAAGUUUUGGGGUAACUUGUUACAUAGGGUUAGAGAACUAAUACAACAGCCCUCUCUUUCCCCCAUACACAUCCCAUUAUUUCCACCAUCACCUAGAGCCUUGCCAUAUAAGUCUGUCCUCUGGGUCCAGAAAAUGAAGCUUGCUCUUUUGGAAUGGAUAUGGCUUGGCAAAGCCCUUUUGGAGUAGGUCUAAGACAAAGCUUUUUCAACACAAAAUUUUGUUUUUUGAACAGUUUGCAUGUUAGAAAAGGAUUUCCUAUGGAAAAUGAUGCAAGAAGAAGCAGGAUAGGUGAUCAGUUUUUAGAGCUGAAAAGAAUAAAAGGCAGAAUUUCACAAGAAAAGGAGGAAUAUCUCCACCUCAUAUGUCUUUUAGUUAACAGGAGGCUGGUAACCCACUGGUUCUAAAAUGACCUAUCUCAUUCCAUAUGCAUCUCUCAAAGAGGAGAGUAAAAAUAAUUUUUUUUCCCAAAGGCUUUAGAUCAGUUUGGUGAUGGGCUCUCUCCUGCAUAACAGCCAUUUUCUUAACACUAAGAAUUUGAACAAUUAGAUCAUUUUUCCUCCAAAAGAUUUCCUGAUAACAAAGAGUAGAUCCCCUUUCGCACACCACAAAUUCUACUCAAGUCUUGGCAUCUGCUUUAAGCAUGACAUUGAUGACAUUCCUUUAGUCAGAACUGGGCAUGACUCUGCAGGCAAUGGAUGUUAUUUCAAACCACUGUCUGGAAGCAAGAUGGAUAAAGGUGGGUACAGGGCUCCACAAGGACCUGCCAAGUGAGGAGAAGCGUUCAUGCUGGAAAAGCAAACCUUUUCUUAGGUUUUCUUUUCCACUUUGUAAACCAAACAGGUUACACUCAAGGGACAGGACUUAACAAAGGACACUGCUCAUGUACUGCAAUAAACAGCCUGCCAUUUUUCAUACGGACUGGAACUGAGGCAGACAGGGUAAUCUUAGCUGACUCUCUGUUCACCUGCCCAUUUGAUUCCAGACAAACACCUGGUGUGGUUUCUCUCUCCUGCUUCCCUUCCCAGUGACCACUCUGCAGCAAGCCCCGGGAGCUUUGUAUGAAGAAGCUAUUCCUUUUCAAAUCCCUAACCCUUUCUCCUGAUUGCUCCUCCAAAUCUGUGGCCAGUGCAGCAAGUCCUGUGAAGACAGUAAGGAGGUAGCAGGAGGAGGCUAAAAAUGGUGACAUCAAGGAAUAGAAACUGGUGGCUUAAGAGAAGGCUUGGUAGAGUGAACUUUGGCUCGGUGGGAGAAUCCUAACAUGGCAUAGUUUCAAGCUUUAUCUCCCUUCCCAGAAAGAAAACGGUCCCAACAUCCUCACACUGUAAGGUGUAUACUCAAGAAAGUAAAAAGACUUAAAGAUGGUUGAGGGCAGAUUCAAGAUGGCCAAAUAGGAACAGCUCCAGUCUGCAGCUCCCAGCCAGAUCGAC